rnacentral:rRNA from 1 species
GAUCAUGGCUCAGGAUGAACGCUAGCUACAGGCUUAACACAUGCAAGUCGAGGGGCAGCGGGAAGGAAGCUUGCUUUCUUCGCCGGCGACCGGCGCACGGGCGAGUAACGCGUAUCGAACCUGCCUCAUACUCGGGAAUAACCUUGCGAAAGUAAGACUAAUACCCGAUGUUUUCAUCUCCUCGCAUGAAGAGUUGAACAAAGUUUUUUCGGUGUGAGGAUGGCGAUGCGUCCCAUUAG